rnacentral:rRNA from 1 species
AUUGAACGCUGGCGGCAGGCUUAACACAUGCAAGUCGGGCGGGGGAAGGUAGCUUGCUACUGGACCUAGCGGCGGACGGGUGAGUAAUGCUUAGGAAUCUGCCUAUUAGUGGGGGACAACAUCUCGAAAGGGAUGCUAAUACCGCAUACGUCCUACGGGAGAAAGCAGGGGAUCUUCGGACCUUGCGCUAAUAGAUGAGCCUAAGUCGGAUUAGCUAGGUGGUGGGGUAAAGGCCUACCAAGGCGACGAUCUGUAGCGGGUCUGAGAGGAUGAUCCGCCACACGUGGACUGAGACACGGCCCAGACUCCUACGGGAGGCAGCAGUGGGGAAUAUUGGACAAUGGGGGGAACCCUGAUCCAGCCAUGCCGCGUGUGUGAAGAAGGCCUUAUGGUUGUAAAGCACUUUAAGCGAGGAGGAGGCUACUUUAGUUAAUACCUAGAGAUAGUGGACGUUACUCGCAGAAUAAGCACCGGCUAACUCUGUGCCAGCCGCCGCGGUAA